rnacentral:rRNA from 1 species
AUUGAACGCUGGCGGCAUGCCUUACACAUGCAAGUCGAACGGCAGCACGGGGCAACCUGGUGGCGAGUGGCGAACGGGUGAGUACUGCAUCGGAACGUACCUUUCAGUGGGGGAUAACGUAGCGAAAGUUACGCUACUCCCGCAUAUUCUGUGAGCAGGCAAGCCGGGGAUCGCAAGACCUUGCGCUGAUUGAGCGGCCGGUGUCAGAUUAGCUAGUUGGUGAGGUAAAGGCUCACCAAGGCGACGAGCUGUAGCGGGUCUGAGAGGAUGAUCCGCCACACUGGAACGGAGACACGGUCCAGACUCCUACGGGAGGCAGCAGUGGGGAAUUUUGGACAAUGGGGGCAACCCUGAUCCAGCCAUGCCGCGUGAGUGAAGAAGGCCUUCGGGUUGUAAAGCUCUUUCGGCCGGGAAGAAAUCGCACGGGCUAAUACCCUGUGUGGAUGACGGUACCGGAAUAAGAAGCACCGGCUAACUACGUGCCAGCCGCCGCCGUAACAC